UCGACGAACUUCUUUAUCACCGAGUGCUUGCACUCACCGAUAAAGAGUUGAGUGGCGAACGGGUGAGUAACACGUGGGCAACCUGCCCAAAGGAGGGGGAUAACACUUGGAAACAGGUGCUAAUACCGCAUAACCAUAGUUACCGCAUGGUAACUAUGUAAAAGGUGGCUAUGCUACCGCUUUUGGAUGGGCCCGCGGCGCAUUAGCUAGUUGGUGGGGUAAAGGCUUACCAAGGCAAUGAUGCGUAGCCGAACUGAGAGGUUGAUCGGCCACAUUGGGACUGAGACACGGCCCAAACUCCUACGGGAGGCAGCAGUAGGGAAUCUUCCACAAUGGGCGAAAGCCUGAUGGAGCAACGCCGCGUGGGUGAAGAAGGUCUUCGGAUCGUAAAACCCUGUUGUUAGAGAAGAAAGUGCGUGAGAGUAACUGUUCACGUUUCGACGGUAUCUAACCAGAAAGCCACGGCUAACUACGUGCCAGCAGCCGCGGUAAUACGUAGGUGGCAAGCGUUAUCCGGAUUUAUUGGGCGUAAAGGGAACGCAGGCGGUCUUUUAAGUCUGAUGUGAAAGCCUUCGGCUUAACCGGAGUAGUGCAUUGGAAACUGGGAGACUUGAGUGCAGAAGAGGAGAGUGGAACUCCAUGUGUAGCGGUGAAAUGCGUAGAUAUAUGGAAGAACACCAGUGGCGAAAGCGGCUCUCUGGUCUGUAACUGACGCUGAGGUUCGAAAGCGUGGGUAGCAAACAGGAUUAGAUACCCUGGUAGUCCACGCCGUANACGAUGAAUGCUAAGUGUUGGAGGGUUUNCGCCCUUCAGUGCUGCAGCUAACGCAAUAAGC
rnacentral:rRNA from 1 species